rnacentral:tRNA from 1 species
CCCUUCGUGGUGUAGUGGUCAGCACGCUCGACGCGUAACCGAGAGGUCCGUGGUUCGAUUCCCGGCGAUGGCG